UUAAUACUCCCUUCGUCCCAAAAUUCUUAUUUUAAAUUUGUCUAGAUAUGAAUGUAUCUAAUCACGUUUUAGUAUUUACAUACAUCCAUUUCUAAACAAAUCUAGGACAAGAAUUUUGGGACGGAGGGAGUAGUUG
rnacentral:pre_miRNA from 1 species